GCGGUGUCGCCAGCCAGGUGUCGCCCGGAGGGAGAAGGAAGCUCCCAACCAGGCCGGGACGGCAGCGCGGGGCCUGUGCAGCCGCCCGGCCCCCGCCCGCAGGGCGGCGCUGCUUCCAGCCGCAGCCUGGAGCCGGGCCGGGGGUUCGAUACUGCCCUGCAGCGCCAUGCCGCGCUGAAAUCCCUCGCUGUACCUGGGAAGCGCCCCUGGGACAGCCGGUGGCUUUGGUAGGAAGGAAAAUACUUACAGCGGACAUGCCAUACAGGAGGACAGCAAGUACUUCCCAUAAUUGCAAAAGGAAUAUUAAGAUAGUAGAAAACCAAGCUUGGAUGCAGCUCUCGGGAAUUCCUGGCAUGUCACCAAGAAGUCCUCUGCUGGUUGGAUUCAAAUCUGUUUCUCAUGUAAUAUCCAACUGUAUUUACAGAGAUAGUUAGAGCCACAUUCUAUGUGCUUCAAAUUAAAAGGUCCAGACUCUUUCACAUUUAAAGACAUUGGUUUGUUAACAGUUUCAUACGACUGCAGCACGUAGUUUGGCUUUUCAUUUUGCUCUUGGUGGAGAAGGAUGAAAGGUUCACUGAUAUUGUGUCUAUACACAAUUUUUAGUUAUUUUUUCAAGAAGCUGGGGGGGGGCAAAGAGACUUUCC
rnacentral:lncRNA from 1 species